GAAUGCUUUUGUGUUGAGUGAUUGGUUGAUGUGAUUUGCACUUCAGGGCCACCGUAAGCUAGCCUAGUGUGCAUCACGAUGGAUGACAUUGAGGCGAAGUAGUCGCUUUUUCUGUUCUCCCUGGAUGAUCCGACUGGAUUAUUUCAACGCACUCAAUGUUUUGCAAAAGAAACAACAGGCCUGCAACGUUUUUUCUUUUUUUGAUUUUGGGGUUCCGUACCAGUCUAACAGGAAGUCAGAACCGAAGGCGCAUCAGACUUUGAAUGCCCAUAAGCAACUACUUUGUACAACUACAGGACACCUGGCCAUACAGAGCAUGGCACAUUCUGACUGCUAAUCUGGACCCCCACCCCCAGCUGACAACGUGCCACAACACGAGAUGGACGUGGAGAAGUGAAGAUGAUCAAAGAGUAUGAGGUAUCUUAUGAUCAUCAUGACCAUAUUUCAAUGAUUGACUAGCCUUGUAAUAUGGUUUUUACUUGUGAUAUUUUAUUGAAGGUAAAAUAUUCUUUACACGUAAUUUUUUUAAAGAGAAAAUAGGUGCAUAUUUUUUCUAUUAAGUUUUUAACUGAUUUCUUAUGCAUUUUAUUCUCUUACCCUUUUUAAAUUAUCUUUAGCUGUUGAUGAAUUAUUACUGUUAUUUUAGGAGCAUAAUUCUAUUUCAGUUAUACCUUUUUUACCCCCUGAUUUGAUCCCUCAGUUUUUUUUUUCGUUUUUUUUUUGGCUCCAGUGUUUUUCCUUUCACACUGGGAAUAGU